rnacentral:rRNA from 1 species
AUGGGGCAGAAGGGGCGUCGCCGCCAAAACCUAGCCCGGAAUGGAGUGAAUAGAAGAAAGGACUCGCUCUAUCAACAAGUUGGCGAUGGUGAUUCUCAAAAUGGCGAAACAUUGACAUAUUCAAUGCCAUACCUUCCAGAGGACAUCUGGCAUCGUAUACAUUCCCUAAUGCCAAUGCGUGAUGCUGCUCGUGCUGCUUGCCUUUCUCGCGCCUUUCUACAUUCCUGGAGGUGUCAUCCCAACCUCACCUUGGACUGGCAAACGCUUUGCUCCAAGUCCAAGGGAGGUGGAGGAAAUUUUAGCCGCAAAAUUGACAGCAUAAUUAGAAACCACUCAGGAAUUGGCUUGAAGAGAUUGGAGCUUGAUAUAUUUGAUGAUGACCGUACCUUGCCUUAUAUCGACAGUUGGCUCCAGUUUGCUGUCACACCAGGGAUUGAGGAGCUCACCCUUGGACUAUAUAAAAGGUACAACUUCCCAUGCUCACUUUUAUCUGAUGGAGUUAGAAACUCAAUUCGUUAUCUUGAACUUCGCCGUAGUGCCUUCCGUCCCAUGGCUGAACUUGGCCCCUUGAGAAGCCUAACAACUCUGCAUCUGUGUUCUGUGCGUAUUACUGGGGAUGAAGUAGGGUGCUUUCUUUCCAACUCCCCUGCUUUGGAGCAGUUGAAACUUUAUGAUUGCAAGGAGAUAAUUUUCCUGAAGAUACCUUGCAUGCUGCAGCGGCUCAGGUGCCUGAGUGUUUUUUCAUGCUGGAUGCUUCAAUUGAUAGAGUGCAAAGCUCCAAAUCUCUCCAAUAUUUACGCUAGUGGAGAAAAUAUAAAACUCUCACUCUCAGAAGCAUUGUGCAUGAAGGACUUGUGCAUGUGUUUUCCCAACGUCAUCGGUUAUGCUCUUGCUGAGCUGCCGUCCAUUAUGCCAACUCUUGAGACUCUUGAAAUAGGUUCAGAGGAUGAGGUGGUUAAUACACCAAUGCUGCCUACAAAAUUCAUCCACCUCAAGCACCUGAAUAUUCAAAUUACGGAAUCCGAUGAUUAUUUUCACCUGGCUUCUUUCUUGGAUGCAUCUCCUUCCUUGGAGACUUUGUUCUUGGAUGUAUCUAAGGAUAAGGAAUAUGUGGAUCGUGAAUCAGUUUUUGGAGGUUCCUCACUACAUUUGAGGCAGCUGCCCGAAGACCGCCAUGUCCGCCUCAAACUCAAACGUGUGGAGAUCAUAGGGUUCAGCUCUGCAAAGAGCUUGGUGAGCUCACACGUUGCAUUGUCAAGAAGGCAGUCUCACUUGAGCUGCUUGUGUUGGACACCCUUGAUGGUAGUGAUAGGUGUUGUGGUGAAUAUAAGUGUAGGCCCAUUGGCAAGACUGUUCUCGAGGAAAAUAAGUGUAGGCCCAUUAGCAAGACUGUUCUCGAGGAAGCCUCUAGAGCGGUCGUGGCUAUAA